rnacentral:lncRNA from 1 species
CUCCAGUUUUAAAAGACAUACCAACAUUUUUGACAAUUAAAGUAGGAUGGCAGUAGGGGUAAGAUAAAAUGUUUGAAAGAUAACAAAAUAUGUAAUUGUUUUACUUUUUGCAAUAAAUGGUAUUCUGUGUCUACUCCAAACAAAACAAAACAUGCUUCUUUGUUCUCUCUAUGUUCUCUCUAUUGCUAGUCUUAGCACUACACUCAUAUAAAAGGUAGAGAGUGGUACCAUCACUGAGUACAUGGCACAUAUCUGAUAUGUAAACAAGCAAGCAAUCAAAACACCCAAGGCUGACACUAACUCUGCAGUGUGUAAUACAGUCAACAUUUAAAAUCUGUUUCAUAAUCCAGUCAAUCAUCAUCAGCCUAAACUACAGGAAACAAACAAUGCAUAAAUCUUAUUCUGAGACCUUAGAAACAAAAUACUUCUUAAAUGGUAAUACAGUUUUCUAAAAACUGACGAUAUCUGUUGCUCCAAAGAGAUAACUAGGUUGAGCAUUAUAGCAACAUCUGUAGAAACAAAGUGAAACCAUCAGUAUAUGUCAACAACACUUGGCAGUACUUCUCUGCAUCUAGUUGUAUCAAGUAAUAAGAACUCUGUAGAAAAGAGCUGUUAAAAUUUCAAAAAUAGUGGAAUACUCAUACAUGAAUCUCUGUCAUAAUAAAAAGCAAUAUCAGAGAAUACAGCCCAAGAAAACUUAGUACGAUUAAUUCAUCAGGGAGAAAAAUUUGACUCAUUCUUCAAUGAGGGAAGCCUCUGGGAUCACAUAAACAAAGAGCAGAGAGAGGAAAGAGCAAAUCCCUGGGGAACAGCAUUAGCAUAAUUGAACACUUAAAUGCAUAAGAAACAAAUUGAGACCACUUAAGUAAAUAAGGAGAAAGCUAUGUAAAGACAGCAUCAAGAUGCUACAAUUGAUCUUUAACUGUUACCAUCUCUAGAAUUAAGUAGGGCAGAUACCUCUAAGGACUAGUUCCUUAGCAUUAAGCUAAAUGGUUAGGCAUGUGACUUUCUGCAGGGACAGCUUGCUUUGAACCCAAGUGCUAGCACCUGGCAAAUGUUAUAAUCUUGGGCAUGGUUUUUCUUUACAUCAUAGUUUCCUUAUUGUAUAUAAAGCAAAAUAAUAAUGCCACCUCAUAGAAUCCCAUGGGUUUUAAAUGAGUUAACUGGAUAAAAUAUUUAACUUAUGGUGCAUGGCCCAUCGUAAAUAACCAAUAAAUGUAUUAUUGUUAUUAAAGGU